UCGAUCAGAUGACGGAGUUAGGUCUGUCACCAGAUCGCAUAUUUUACACGACGAUUCUGGAGCAUUUUUGUAAAUUCGGAAAUCUCGACAAGGCUUAUGGUGUUUUCAACGACAUGAUUGAGCACGGAAUCACACCCGAUGUGAUUUCUUUUAACGCCCUGAUAAGUGGCCUCUGCAGGUAUUGUAGAGUGACUGAAGCAAUGAAGUUGUUCGAGGACAUGCAGAGUAAAGACUUUCGAGUUCAUUAUUGGAGGACUCAUACUUGAGAAUAAAUUAUCCGCAGCCUACAAGAUUUGGGAUCAGAUGAUGGAUAAAGGAUUCACCCUUGAUAGAGAUGUGUCUGAUACACUUAUAAAGGCUAGCUGUUCUGUGAGUGCUGAUGCUUAGGCGUAAUAAGGGUAUAAACCUUUAAAAUUGUCAAACUUGCCUUCUCCUGUGCAAAAAUGCCGUCGUUGUCAAAAGUAUGGCGGCAUGGAGAUGCUGAUAUGAUGAUACAGAGCCAUUUAAGCCUCUAUUGAUACCUGCUGCUGCUUGGAGAAAAACAAAAGACUUAUCAGCUGACUUGAGUUGACAUUAAUACUCCUGAAGGGUCAUCAUUUAUAGUCGAUGAGUCUACCUCCAGUGAUGAGAGUCCAGGGCUAGACCUGCCUGAUGGCCUGUUGCAUUUUAGAAAUAAUCUUCUUGAGCUCUUGGUAGAUAUUUGUCAGCUACUUCAUCCUACAACAUUUGUGAGUAAGUUGUUUUUUGGUGGCCUGCCUUCUUCAAAUAUUUCGAUGUCCUUGAGGGAGAUUGAGGCGAAGUUGUUUGCUCUUAAUGCGGUUUCUGAAAUUAUCUUGCAAGAGGGAGAGGCUUUUGAUUUUUCAUUGAUCAUGCAAUUGGUUUCUGCAUUCUCUGACAGGCCAUCCAGUGAGCUCAAGGGGUUUAUGUGUUGUAUAUAGAUCGCUGGCAGAUGUUAUUGGCUCCUUUUCAAGAUGGAUCUCUGUUUUUCCAAGUAAUGGUAGACCCUUGCUAUUAUUUCUUGCAGGAGGGAUUUCUGAACCCAUUUGUUCACAUGCUUGUGCCUCUGCUCUUCGUAAAAUUUGUGAAGAUGCUCCAGCUGUAGUACAUGAAACAUGUAAUUUAGACAUCUUGAUGCGGAUAGGAGAGGUUUCAGCUUCAGGCACCCCUUUCGAUAACUGUUAAGACAGGCUUCAAGUUACACUGACGUGUAUAUAUAUAUAUAUAUAUAUAUAUAUAUCCUGAAUCAUUAUACUUUUA